AUUGAACGCUGGCGGCAGGCCUAACACAUGCAAGUCGAGCGGGGUUUUCGGGCCUAGCGGCGGACGGGUGAGUAAUGCGUAGGAAGCUGCCCGAUAGAGGGGGAUACCAGUUGGAAACGACUGUUAAUACCGCAUAAUGUCUACGGACCAAAGUGUGGGACCUUCGGGCCACAUGCUAUCGGAUGCGCCUACGUGGGAUU
rnacentral:rRNA from 1 species